UACGAAGGGGGCUAGCGUUGCUCGGAAUCACUGGGCGUAAAGCGCACGUAGGCGGCUUUCUAAGUCAGGGGUGAAAUCCUGGAGCUCAACUCCAGAACUGCCUUUGAUACUGAAGAUCUUGAGUUCGGGAGAGGUGAGUGGAACUGCGAGUGUAGAGGUGAAAUUCGUAGAUAUUCGCAAGAACACCAGUGGCGAAGGCGGCUCACUGGCCCGAUACUGACGCUGAGGCACGAAAGCGUGGGGAGCAAGCAGG
rnacentral:rRNA from 1 species